rnacentral:rRNA from 1 species
UCAGUUGGCUUAUAAUUGAAGUCUAGUAUGAAUGGGAACUCGGGGAUAUUCUGUCUUUUAUUUACGAUUAGAAAUUACUAAUUAAGUGAAAAUUCUUAAUCCUUUAGAAAAAAGACGAGAAGACCCUAGAAAUUUUUUAAAAUAUAUUUUGUUGGGGCGACAAGGUAACAUAAAACUUACCUAUACAAUAGGAAAUUUUUUAGUUGGGUAAAUAAAUUACUCUAGGGAUAACAGCAUAAUAUUUUAAAGUUUGUGACCUCGAUGUUGGACUAGGAAAUACCCUACU